GAUGAACGCUGGCGGCGUGCUUAACACAUGCCAGUCGAACGGAAAGGCCCAAGCUUGCUUGGGUACUCGAGUGGCGAACGGGUGAGUAACACGUGGGCGAUCUGCCCUGCACUUCGGGAGAAGCCUGGGAAACUGGGUCUAAUACCGGAUAGGACCACUCCUUGGGUGUUGUGCUGGAAAGCUUCUCGGUGUGGGCUGAGCUCUCGGCCGAUCACCUUGUUGGUGGGGGAAUGGCCUACCAGGGCGUCGAAGGGUAGCCGGCCUGAGGGGGUGUAGGGCCACAUUGGGACUGAGACAGGGGCCAGACUCCUGCGAGAGGCAGCAGUGGGGAAUAUUGCACAAUGGGCGCAAGGCUGAUGCAGCGAAGCCGCGUGGGGGGUGACGGCCUUCGGGUUGUAAACAACUUUCGCUAGGGAAGACGCUUAUUUUGUGACGGUACCUGGAGAAGAAGCACCGGCUAACUACGUG
rnacentral:rRNA from 1 species